rnacentral:tRNA from 1 species
GCCACCUUAGCACAACUGGAAGUGCAGCUGACCUGUAAUCAGUUGGUUGGGAGUUCGAAUCUCUCAGAUGGCA